AAUGAUGUGGAUGUCAAGUAAGAAAAGAGAAAGACAAACAGGCAUAACGUGUUGACAUUUUUUAUAUUUGGUAUUUGUUAAGUCUUUUAAAAAAAUUUUUCAGGCCAUUUUUUUUCCCUUAAAAAACAAACAAACAAAGAAGCAACCAACAGCAAUAACUCUGUACAGGUAUAACAAACAUUAGAAAUAUGCAUCAUUCCAAAAUAGUUACAAGAAAAUUACAGUUUUAGAGUCCACAUCAACACAUCCUCUUCAUAGGGUGCCCCCAAGGGAAAAGAGCUAUAGUAUGUUGAAUACUGACUGCUGACACAUUGUCUGAAAACUCAGAACUUGGGCUUUGGCGGCAAAUCAGCAUCAGUCACCAAGACUUGUUUAGCUCGGCAAGUGCAAUCAAGCAUUUCCAAAGAAAACCAGGCAUUUUCAUCCCGGAUGAAAAGCAAACAUGAAUCAGCUGCAGAGCUGGUCCCAACGCCCCCAGGAGCCUCUGACUUGAUGGUACCCAAACCCAGCAGAGUCAAUCAUGCCAAAAUCUGGCUGGAGGUCAUCACAUGGCCACAGGGAACAGACCCACCAGUCAUUGCCUACAGCUGUCAAUCAUCGCUAGAUUUAACUUUGCAGGCAAAACGUCCUUGAACUUGGGAGAAGAUAUCAAUGGUCCCAGUCCCCCAAACCAACCCAUCCCACCCUGGCUGGCUGUCCCCUAUGCCCAUUGUAAGAUACUAAGCAGGGGUGAUGACACCAAGCCCACCAUUCCACUGGACUCUAAAUUUCACUUCCUUGUUCCUGGGAAGGUUCCAGGAUGCAAAGAAGCACGAUGACCUUCGUGUGACCUGCUCAUUUGGAAUCCAGACCUCUCGAGAGAAGCCUUCCUCCCAGGAUUGGGACUGACGUCUGAGCAGGGCUGGCAGGGCCGCUGCCCCUUACCUAGGCCCACACUAGGCAUAAGGGAGGACGAGUUCUGGGGUGAUUUUUUUUUUUUUUUUUUUUUUUGCAUUUUUCUAACAUGUUGAUGUAACUUUACUCUUUUAAGGGAAUUUUUUGAGUCAAGUCCUGCACUUCUCUGGCAGCGGCAGUGCUGUGGGCGGGGCGUACGUCCACGUGGGAUUUGACGCCCGGCCCCCAUCACCAUGGUUUCCUGAGGAACUGGAGUGGGAAGGGGUGUGGCGCACAGAAC
rnacentral:lncRNA from 1 species